GCUGGCGGCGNGGNAUAGGCAUGCAAGUCGAACGGGNAACGUAAUGUUUUGCGCAAGCAAAAUUGUACGCUCUAGUGGCGAAUGGGUUAGUAACACGUAGAUUAUCAACCCCAAAGACGGGCAUAAUCCGCCGAAAGGCGGACUAAUUCCCGAUAGUCUCGGUCCGCAAGGACUAGAGUAAAGCCGCAAGGCGCUUUGGGAUGGGUCUGCGGCCUAUCAGCUAGUUGGUAGGGUAAUGGCCUACCAAGGUUAUGACGGGUAGGGGAAGUGAGAGCUUGUUCCCCAACAAUGGGACUGAGAACGGCCCAUACUCCUACGGGAGGCUGCAGUCGAGAAUAUUGGUCAAUGGGCGAAAGCCUGAACCAGCGACGCCGCGUGCCGGAAGAAGGUCUUCGGAUUGUAAACGGCUUUUCUGGGGGAAUAACUUCGGUGAAGGUACCCCAGGAAUAAGGGGUUGCUAACUCUGUGCCAGCAGCAGCGGUAAUACAGAGACCCCAAGCAUUAUCCGGAUUUAUUGGGCGUAAAGGGUCCGUAGGCGGCUCGUUACAUCUUUCGUUAAAUCUUCAGGGCUCAACCUUGAAGCUGCGAAAGAGAUGGGCGAGCUAGAGGGCGUUAGGGGCUGAUGGAACGGUCGGUGUAGGGGUGAAAUCCGUUGAUAUCGACCGGAACGCCAAAAGCGAAGGCAUUCAGCUGGGACGACCCUGNACGCUGAGGGACGAAAGCGUGGGGAGAGAACAGGAUUAGAUACCCUGGUAUUCCACGCCCUAAACAAUGGACACUAGCUGCCUGAAGUGUCGACC
rnacentral:rRNA from 1 species